rnacentral:rRNA from 1 species
GACAGAGGGGGCAAGCGUUGCUCGGAAUUACUGGGCGUAAAGGGUGCGUAGGCGGCGGCGUAAGUCGGGUGUGAAAUCCCAGGGCUCAACCCUGGAACUGCACUCGAUACUGCGUCGCUGGAGGACUGGAGAGGAGACUGGAAUUCACGGUGUAGCAGUGAAAUGCGUAGAUAUCGUGAGGAAGGCCAGUGGCGAAGGCGAGUCUCUGGACAGUUCCUGACGCUGAGGCACGAAGGCCAGGGGAGCAAACGGG